UACGGAGGGUGCAAACGUUGCUCGGAAUCAUUGGGCGUAAAGCGCACGUAGGCGGCUUGUUAAGUCGGAUGUGAAAGCCCCGGGCUCAACCCGGGAAGUGCAUACGAAACUGGCGGGCUUGAAUAUGGAAGAGGGUCGCGGAAUUCCCGGUGUAGAGGUGAAAUUCGUAGAUAUCGGGAGGAACACCAGUGGCGAAGGCGGCGACCUGGGCCAAUAUUGACGCUGAGGUGCGAAAGCGUGGGGAGCAAACAGG
rnacentral:rRNA from 1 species